GACGAACGCUGGCGGCGUGCUUAACACAUGCAAGUCGAACGAAGUGGCGAACGGGUGAGUAAUACGUGGGUAACCUGCCCUCCUUUUUGGGAUAAGCCUUGGAAACGGGGUCUAAUAACGAAUAAAGGGGGAUGGGCUGGCGGCCUAUCAGCUUGUUGGUGGGGUGAUGGCCUACCAAGGCGGUGACGGGUAGCCGGCCGGAGGGGGUGACCGGCCAAAUUGGGACUGGGAGACGGCCCAGGGUCCUACGGGAGGCAGCAGUUGAGGAUAUUGCAGAAUGGGCGAAAGCCUGAAGCAGCGCGUCGGCGUGGGAGAUGCAGGCUUUCGGGUUGUAAGCCUCUUUAGACAGAGACGCGUUACCUGUAGAAUAAGCCACGGCUAACUACGUGCCAGCAGCCGCGGUAAUAC
rnacentral:rRNA from 1 species